UAUUGUCUCAGCAUGUAUUUAAUAGUUCACUUAGUCAUACAGCAAAACCUCUGAUGGCAGAAUUCCUGUGCUACAGCUCUGCCUCAGUCCUGUGCCUGUAUCACUGAACAAUACAUUUUCUCUCAGCCUAAGAGUGUAAAUCCACAUCUCUGAAAGUAGAAACUACACCAGUCUAAAUUAUACAUGACCUCAUUUUUAAAACAUAAAUGCAUCUGCCUUCAAUCUCCCAAACAAUGCCAGCUUUCAUUGCUUAUUAGCCCAGAUCUCCCACAAACACCCCUGGCACUGUUACAUCACUGCUUAGCCAAGGGAAAAACACCUCAGAGUAUUUCCACUGAGCUAUGACUGCUGUCUCAAGGAGUGCUGAGCUGAGCUGCACCCAUGGGGAAGCAGGACUGAUGCAAAGAGGCACAGAGCACUCCCUCUUCCUGCAGGGAACCCACUUCUUCCUGGCACAGAGAGCAGCACUGGAACCCGGGUUUCACAAAACACAGAAACACACAGGUUUGUGUUUUUACUGAAGCUGCUUUCUUUACUUUAAAGAACUGGAAAACACCAUUCCUUGUGAAGUGUACUAUUAACCACAUACUAUUUCAGUGAGGAAAAUUCAUCUACCAACCUCAAAGCCUAUGAGCUACCACUUUGGAAACAGUUGUAUCUUCAGUAAUAAAAUAUAACAGAUACUAAUAUUAUAUGUAAUUAAAAGGCAUUCUAUCAGAAUAGUUGUAACAACUUUUACCUCCUUAGAAAGUAAAGCAAAAAGCCAUCAUUGUCAGUGGUGUCCUCAAAUCCAAGAAAUGUUCAUUCACAUAUUUGUCUGUGUGCUGCUGUUUUCAUAGCACUUUUUGGCAGAGAGCCACUAAAGAGUGGACUUUGAGGUACUGGUGAACUUUCAGCUAACUGCAGAGAACUGGGCUUCUCACACAGUUUGGACUGAAAUUCCUCUUUACUUCUGCAUCCAAACUCCAUGAUGCAAUGACUUGCACCUCAGGAUCUGCUGCUCUAAAUGUACUGUUUAAACAUAACAACUACAGUAGUUUACCUCUACACUUUACUGCAGCGCAUGCACUAUGUCCAGUUUCAAAAUGUUUCAGAAAAAAGUCAAUCCAGACAAACCAUAAUUUCCUGAAAGUGCAGUAACUGUGAUAAACAAGACCACAAUCUGAUCAACAUUAUGACUGUGGUCUAGACCUCCAAAGUUUCAUCUACACAGUAAACAGAGCAACCACAAAGUCAGCAGCGGCAAUUUUUAAUUUGACUGUCCUGGAAAACUGCAAAAGAAUUAACAGAAUGGCCAAGGAAUCUGUUUGAUCUGAGUCUGAGUGCUCAGGAUGUCCUCAAAGCCCACUGACCCUGAAUGCCAUCAGAAAAAUAACUGCCAGUGCACUAAGACAACAUCACUGUAUUUUAUUUUAAUUUCCUUUGCAGAAAUAAAGACAGAAUUGGAUGCUGCUUUUUAUCAACUUUCAAACCAUCAAAACUACUCGGAAAAAGUUCAAUUAAGUGUUCAUCAGUGAUGAGCUACAAUGACAUGUAACUUCACUGGCAGAUCAUCCAGCCUACAGCAGGCAUUUAUUUUGGAAGCAGAAAAGACCAGGCCAAUCAAUAACCACUGACAGAUACAGCAGAACCUUUUAAUGGUUACUUCUGACUUACUGUACUUUCAGCUGAGUGAAAUAUUACAGAAGUGUACCUUUAUCUGAUUUCACUGAAGUCUACAAAGCAAGACAAGUCACCUUACAGCCUGAGAGAUCAAAUCUGUUGCUUACAGAAAACCUCAUCUUGAAAGUCUUUUAUCUUAAGAUUUAAGUGAAGGGAGCGUUCCUUAUAUCCUUGAUGAUUAAUAGCAAAUAAAAUCUGUUCUCACAUUAGAAAUGUAACCUUGCACAGCCUUGGAGGUUCAAAGGAGGCUACCAAGAUUCUAGCCCUAAGGGCAGAUGAGUAAUCAUCACAACAGCACUCUUUAGACAAUUCACAACUAAUGUUUUGUAAUUUCUUGAUAAAAUUAUUAGAUUCCCCUACAACUGCCAGAGUCCACAGUUUCACUAUCAUAGUCAGGAUGCUUUUAAUUAAACAAAUAAUUAAACAAAUAAUUUUGUGUAUGAACUGGGACAGGUGCUGUAGUUAUAACACUGAAAGCUGUAAUCCAGCACGUGUAGCAUUAGAAAGCUUUUUGUUAUUGUCUCAGCCAUAACUUUUCACAUUCAUGGGUAGAACCAUGCAAAAACAUUCUCACCCUCACUCCCCCACCCCCAACUUCUAAAGGAAAAUAAUAUUUUCCUGGUGUUAGGGGGGUUACAUCAACUUGACCAAAUCUAAAUGAUCAUUUGGGGUGGUCUGGGAAAUGGAAAAAAAACAACAACCCAACAAUCCAGAAAAAACCACAGAUACUACAGGACCCAACGUGAACUUAUUCCUGGCAGCUGCUUUUCACAUGCUGCGUUCAGCUGAUGACCUAACACUUCAUGUGACACACGGGGACAGAGCCCACAGCUGGGAGAGGAAAACUGCGGGUGGACUAAGAGCUCACUCCUUCCAAGUAGGAGCCAGAACUGAGGCAGAUUUACUAACAAGACACUGAGGCCAUUUCAGAACCUCCAGUCAAUCUAUUUCACAAUAAUCACUCCCUGAAAUGCACUCAUCCUCCAUCACUGUUGUAAAACCUCACAGGCCCUGGGAUUCCUUUGUAAAACAGAGUGUGAACAAUUUUAUUUAUGUAUGCUUUUAUCUUUCCUUGUCUGUUUCUUCUCAGCAGUAUAUACAAUUUCCUAAAGAUUGAACUAUCUUUAUUUACUUAGUCUGUAAUUCAUAUAUCUCUACUUCUAAGAAAAAUGCCAUGAAUAAGAAACAGGUGAAAUUUUAGAAGCCAAAAAUAUGUGAAGUGGAACUGUUUCUAACCACACAAAUAAAAAACAAAGAAUAAAAUAAUCUGAAGUGUUUCAAAAUAAUGCUUUUCAAAGGCUUACUAUUUAAAAUGAAUUCUGGUGCAAAACCUGGCAUUUGUCUCAUUUAUUACCUCGGAAAGAAAAUGUAUUACAGUGUGCUGAAUGUCUAAACAACAGAGGUGAGAAGGUCAUUCAGGACACAAGUGAGACUUGAAGCAGCUUGUGUCUGCUGUGGGUCUAUAAAAGCAGCAGUUAAGUGGCCACUGCUCCACUCUUGGUCAGACUUUACCCUUCCUGACCCCCAGCACAAACUUCAUCCGCAACAGUCCCGGAGCACAGAGCUGGCGCACACAGGGUCCCCACAGUCCGAUCUGUGACGUACUUGGCAGGCUUUUGUUUAUGACUUUAUAUUCCAUAGAGUGUGUAAAUCUAGUGAAAAAGUGUUGCAAAAUAUUAUGUAAGAGUUAUAAAUACUAAUCCUCAGCAGAUCAGCUUUGCACUUGCAUGCCCUGGAUGCAUCAUUCUUUGCCAUACAGAAAAUGUGAUGGUCGACCAUAACAUUGAGAACAAAAUUCAAAGCAGCUCUGAGAAGUUUAAACUAAAGCUUUGCAGAUAUAGGCUCCUAAGUUCAUGAGAGUAACCUAUAUGCAGCCUGCUCCUUUACCCUGUUGAAGUAAGUCAAAAAG